rnacentral:tRNA from 1 species
AAUGAAUUGCCUGAGGAAAGGAUUAUCUUGAUAGGAUAAAACACGUAAAAUUUUACAUUCAUUA